rnacentral:rRNA from 1 species
GGGGAUAACACUUAGAAAUAGGUGCUAAUACCGCAUAAGCGCACAGCUUCGCAUGAAGCAGUGUGAAAAACUCCGGUGGUAUACGAUGGAUCCGCGUCUGAUUAGCUUGUUGGCGGGGUAAAGGCCCACCAAGGCGACGAUCAGUAGCCGGCCUGAGAGGGUGAACGGCCACAUUGGGACUGAGACACGGCCCAAACUCCUACGGGAGGCAGCAGUGGGGAAUAUUGCACAAUGGGGGAAACCCUGAUGCAGCGACGCCGCGUGAGCGAAGAAGUAUUUCGGUACGUAAAGCUCUAUCAGCAGGGAAGAAAAUGACGGUACCUGACUAAGAAGCCCCGGCUAACUACGUGCCAGCAGCCGCGGUAAUACGUAGGGGGCAAGCGUUAUCCGGAUUUACUGGGUGUAAAGGGAGCGUAGACGGCAGCGCAAGUCUGGAGUGAAAUCCCAUGGCUUAACCAUGGAACUGCUUUGGAAACUGUGUAGCUGGAGUGCAGGAGAGGUAAGCGGAAUUCCUAGUGUAGCGGUGAAAUGCGUAGAUAUUAGGAGGAACACCAGUGGCGAAGGCGGCUUACUGGACUGUAACUGACGUUGAGGCUCGAAAGCGUGGGGAGCAAACAGGAUUAGAUACCCUGGUAGUCCACGCUGUAAACGAUGAU